rnacentral:rRNA from 1 species
GAUGAACGCUGGCGGCGUGCCUAAUACAUGCAAGUCGAGCGAACAGAUGAGGAGCUUGCUCCUCUGACGUUAGCGGCGGACGGGUGAGCAACACGUGGAUAACCUACCUAUAAGACUGGGAUAACUUCGGGAAACCGGAGCUAAUACCGGAUAAUAUAUUGAACCGCAUGGUUCAAUAGUGAAAGACGGUUUUGCUGUCACUUAUAGAUGGAUCCGCGCCGCAUUAGCUAGUUGGUAAGGUAACGGCUUACCAAGGCAACGAUGCGUAGCCGACCUGAGAGGGGGAUCGGCCACACUGGAACUGAGACACGGUCCAGACUCCUACGGGAGGCAGCAGUAGGGAAUCUUCCGCAAUGGGCGAAAGCCUGACGGAGCAACGCCGCGUGAGUGAUGAAGGUCUUCGGAUCGUAAAACUCUGUUAUUAGGGAAGAACAAAUGUGUAAGUAACUAUGCACGUCUUGACGGUACCUAAUCAGAAAGCCACGGCUAACUACGUG